AACGAACGCUGGCGGCAGGCUUAACACAUGCAAGUCGAACGGUUGUAGCAAUACAGCAGUGGCAGACGGGUGAGUAACACGUGGGAACCUUCCUAGGGGUACGGAACAACUCAGGGAAACUUGAGCUAAUACCGUAUACGUCCGUGAGGAGAAAGGUUUAUCGCCCUUAGACGGGCCCGCGUCGGAUUAGCUAGUUGGUGGGGUAACGGCCUACCAAGGCGACGAUCCGUAGCUGAUCUUAGAGGAUGAUCAGCCACACUGGGACUGAGACACGGCCCAGACUCCUACGGGAGGCAGCAGUGGGGAAUCUUGGACAAUGGGCGCAAGCCUGAUCCAGCCAUGCCGCGUGAGUGAAGAAGGUCUUCGGAUUGUAAAGCUCUUUUACCAGGGACGAUAAUGACGGUACCUGGAGAAUAAGCCCCGGCAAACUUCGUGCCAGCAGCCGCCGUAAUAC
rnacentral:rRNA from 1 species